AUUGAACGCUGGCGGCAGGCCUAACACAUGCAAGUCGAGCGGAUGAAGGGAGCUUGCUCUCUGAUUUAGCGGCGGACGGGUGAGUAAUGCCUAGGAAUCUGCCUGGUAGUGGGGGAUAACGUUCCGAAAGGAACGCUAAUACCGCAUACGUCCUACGGGAGAAAGCAGGGGACCUUCGGGCCUUGCGCUAUCAGAUGAGCCUAGGUCGGAUUAGCUAGUUGGUGAGGUAAUGGCUCACCAAGGCGACGAUCCGUAACUGGUCUGAGAGGAUGAUCAGUCACACUGGAACUGAGACACGGUCCAGACUCCUACGGAGGCAGCAGUGGGGAAUAUUGGACAAUGGGCGAAAGCCUGAUCCAGCCAUGCCGCGUGUGUGAAGAAGGUCUUCGGAUUGUAAAGCACUUUAAGUUGGGAGGAAGGGCAGUAAGCUAAUACCUUGCUGUUUUGACGUUACCGACAGAAUAAGCACCGGCUAACUUCGUGCCA
rnacentral:rRNA from 1 species